UGGAACUACAUUUCGAUUGGUCAAUUAAAUGAAACAUUGAAAUGCGGGGGAAACGCGGAUUUCAGUCAGCUAAAGCGAUCCAGCGUUACAUCAAGGUUUUUUGACCCACAGAAGACGAUGGAAAGCUGCCUCACCAAGACACCAGACGCUGGAUCAUCUAUAUUUGCAAUCGCAGACGCAAGACAUGUGUUCAGGUUUUGAAUAUAAUGUCUCCAGUAUGGAUAUGUUUGACGAUUGUUACCAUGGAAACGAACUCACAGACCAACAUGUGUGUCAAAACAGAUUUUGAACAUGAUGUCUCCAGCAAGGAUAUGUUUGAUGACGGUUACCAUGGAAACGAACUCACGGACCUAUGUCAAAAAUGUCUUUUUCUGAUAAAAUAAAUAUAAUGCUAUCCAUUUCA